CCUUUGUUCUUGGCUUCUUGCAGUAUAAAUCUGAACCCAGCAGGUGAGGGGCAGCAGCACCAGCAGCAAAGAGAUGAGUCUUCUCUAUCGCUAGUACUACUUAGCUACAUCUCUGAAUUAAGUAUCUGCAGAUAUCUUCUUCCCCAACUCCAGCAGCAGUGUUUGAUUGUUUCAAAGAUGGUACUAAAGGAUGAGGAUACACUACUGGAUGAUCAAAACCCUAGAUCUUGGACUGGCAACAUCCGUAACAUCCCUAUUUACAAGUGGAGAGAAGCAUCCAGCAUCUUUGUUGUCCAUGAUCAUUGCCAACAAAGAGCAGCAUUCGACUUCUUAAACUGGGGAAAUGUCAUCAAGAUGCCGCAUAUGCAGUGGAAAGUAAAAGCUAUAAGGGCCUCCUAGCCUAUAAGCCGGUGUUAUCCCGACUGAGCUUUCUUUUAUCCCUCAAAUUGAACUCCCGCACUUCACCCUUAGUUAAACCAUUUUCUGGUAAUUCCUCGUGCCAGAAUUAACGUUCUUGACCUUGUAAGGCCUUUUCUUGACCUUGUAAGGCCCUCCCGUUGUGUUUCUCCUAUCGCUGAGUGUCUCCAACCUCACUCCUCCUUCUCCCCUCUAUCCCUCCUGAGCUAUCUCCAUGCAUGCAUGUUUUCCCGGACAAUCUCAAUGAGAGAUGAUUUGAAUAAAGAUCUUCAGUGUUAAUUAAUUAAGUUUA